ensembl:lncRNA
CAGGAAGUGGUUUAAUCAAACGGGCGUCAUUUAUGGGCACUGACCAGCGAGCACCUGGAGUGAGAGUGGCCUCGACUCACUGCUGGAGAACAUGGUGACGUUUGGCUUUUCAUACAUUUGGAUUAGCAUGGACCUCCAAGCUCCCCUGUUUGUGCUCCAGCUGCAGUUGGUGCAGCAACGCAGACACUGCAAUGCCCCAUCACUGGCGAGAGGAAGAGGACACAAUCUACACCUGACUGUACUAGUGUGCUUGUUGAGAUCUGGCAGUGGAUGUGUUGAACCGGGAAUAUUGAGAAUACCGUGAGGCAUGGCAGCAGAGGGCGUAGGGAGGAAAAGGCAAAACGGCACAGGCCGCAGCCUUCAGUUAGGCAUCCCUGAGUGUGGUCGGUUACCUUGCUUCAGUAAUGCGUGGCCACUGUGGCUGAUGUUUCAUCUCAUCCAUGGACUUUACCCCUUUGAUGUAAAACAAAAGCA